UAUUCUCAUAAUUCAGGCAAGUAGAAAAUCAUGUAUGCAUUAUAUUGCUUUGUUAUUUUCCCUUAUUCAUCCAUCACAAUGUAAUAUUAAAAUUGUGGCUGAAUAUUUUAGACCAUUGUUUUAAUACCACAAAUUGUGUCUCUUCAUUUUCAGGGUGCCCUUUGGAGGAGCCAGUGGACUUUGUGGACAGUUGGAGUUGAGGGCUAGGGAGAGGAAGUCGAGGAGAAAUUCAUCAGGGAGAAAGAUAUAGGCCUCUUGUGGUAUGAGAUGGUCGUGCAAACGAUGCAAUUUUAGGUCAUCAAAUCGUUUAGAGCUUAUAAAACAUUAUAGAUUGAAGCAUCCACACACUAGUCAAGGCCGAUCACUACCCUGCUUGUACUCAGAUUGUCCUUGUUUAUUUAAAAGUUGGGGUGCACUUCAUGCACAUUUGUCUAGAAAUCAUACACAGACUCAACAGUUAGGGCAGAUAGUUUCAUUUUCGUGUCUUGUAUGUAAUUCAUGUAGUUUUAACACAGAGAAACACUGUUUUGAACACCUCGGGACUCAUCUGAAAAAGCACAAAACUGUUAAUUGUGUUUUUAAAGAUUGUGACUACAGUACGGAUAUAUAUUCAACUUUUGCUUCACAUAAAAGUAGGAAGCACAAUCCUCACUGCAUUGAAGAUUUUAAAAAUACUGUAUUCCAGAUACAUUCAAGUCAGGCAAGUGAGGUAACAAAGGGUAGUAGUUUGAUUGAAAGUGAAGUUAUUUAUGAUGAAACAUUUGUCCAAGAGGGUGAAGAUUUAGUCCAGGCUAUUGUUGAUGAGCUUGGUUCCUUAUUGCUUAAACUAGACUGUAUAUUCAAUGUGCCUAGAAGAUGUAUAGAUGAGAUUGUAGAGGAGCUUCAAUUUAUUACUUGUUCAGCAUCUGCACCUGUUAUUAAACAUAUUGUCCAUAGUACAUUACAAAACCAUAACUGCACUGUUGAAGAAGUGGUGAUCACAGAUAUAGUAAAAAGCCUUUGCCAGUUAAAUCCUCUUAGUGUAGCCUUUAGUGGAGAAGGCCCUCUUGGCACGGCAUACAAAAGAAAUAGUUAUUUAAAAGAACAUUUCUCUAUUGUUGAACCUGUUGAAUAUAUACUAGAUGCGAAAGAAGGAAAGACCUUUCAGUAUAUACCUAUUUUGCAAUACAUGUCACAAGUUCUGAAAAAUAGUGACAAUCAGGACAAGGUUUUGAAAAGUGUAAGACGUUGUAGUUCUUCAUGUCAGUACACUAGUUUUCAUGAUGGUACCCACUUCAAGGAAAACAUAUUUCUUUUUGGAGAAGAGUUAAGGCUUUCACUCCUACUUUACUGUGAUGACUUUGAAAUAUGCAAUCCAUUAAGAACAUCUCGUAAGGAGCACAAGGUCAACAGGUGUCUAAAGGGUGUUUGCUGAUAUUCUGUCUGUAUUGAGGUCUACAUUAUCAUCUAUUUACUUAUCUGUUUUGCGCAAGGCAGACGACAUUAAGAAAUUUGGUUAUCCCCAAGUGCUAGAUCCAAUUAAGUGAUUUGAAAAGACUUGAAGAAGAUGGUCUUUUUGUGCCCUGUUUAGGAAAAAUAAUAAAGGGCACUGUUUUUUCUGUGAUUGCCGAUAACUUUGGUGCCCACUCAGUUGGGGGGUUAAUUGAAAGUUUCAGUGGGUCACACGUUUGUAGAUUUUGUGUAGGAGACAGAGCCCAGUUUCAGGAAUUUGAGGUCAGGACAGGAGCACUUCCAGGUAGAACAAAAGAGCAUCACAAGUUGGACAUUGAAGCAGCAUUUACUAGUAACACUGAUAGUCGUGGAGUUAAAGGACAGUGUACUAUUACUGAAAGAUUAAAUCAUUUUCAUGUGACAACAGGUUACCCACCUGAUGUAUUACAUGAUUUACUUGAGGGUAUUGUACCUUUAGAACUGGCAUUGUGUUUAGAUAUUUUGAAAAAGAAAACAUAUUUUUCUCUUGAAGAACUCAAUAAAAUAAUCAAACAGUUUCCAUACAAGUGGAAAGACAGGACAAAUUGUCCCCAAGUUAUACCACCAACAUUUGCCUCCUGUAAAACCUUUGGUGGUAAUGCAACUGAAAAUUGGUGCUUAUUGAGGCUACUUCCACUUAUGAUUGGCUCCAAAGUAGAGGAAGAAGAACAAGCAUGGCAGUUGUUGAUCAAUCAAUCAAUCAGUUUACUUAUAUAGCCCUAAAUCACUAGUGUCUCAAAGGGCUGCACAAACCACUACGACAUCCUCGGUAGGCCCACAUAAGGGCAAGGAAAACCCACACCCAGUGGGACGUCGGUGACAAUGAUGACUAAGAGAACCUUGGAGAGGAGGAAAGCAAUGGAUGUCGAGCGGGUCUAACAUGAUACUGUGAAAGUUCAAUCCAUAAUGGAUCCAACACAGUCGCAAGAGUCCAGUCCAAAGCGGAUCCAACACAGCAGCGAGAGUCCCGUUCACAGCGGAGCCAGCAGGAAAACAUCCCAAGCGGAGGCGGAUCAGCAGCGCAGAGAUGUCACCAGCCGAUACACAGGCGAGCAGUACAUGGCCACCGGAUGACACUCAAAAGAUCUUGUUGAGCUGGUUACUCAGAUGAAAGCAUUGGUUUCCUCGAUAGCCUGAUUUCUGAGCACAGACAGAGAUUUAACAGUGUUCUUCCACAAGCGAACCUGAUCCCUAAACAUCACUUUGUAGAGCACUAUCCCCAGUUCAUCAAAUCAUUUGGCCCACUAGUGUCUUUAUGGACAAUGAAGUUUGAAGGAAAGCACCGAUUCUUUAAGAAGAUUGUAAGACGGACUAGUUGCUUUCGGAACAUUUUAAAGUCUAUGGCAAACAAACACCAGUCCAUGAUCGCAUGCCAUCUCGAUGCUUCAGUUGUAAAAAAGCCUGCUGUGUCUGUAUCAAAGAUGUCAAGAGUUCCAUUAGAAGUUGUAAAUGAGAACAUACAGGAAUUUCUAUCACAGAAAUUUCCUGAGGUGACAGGUGUUAAUUUGUCCAACCAGGCAGAAUUUCAGGGCACCAGUUACAGAGUUGGCAUGAUGUUGGUACAUGACUCCACGUCUGGGUUGCCUGACUUUGCUGAAAUACUACAAAUCAUCAUUGUUCAUGACAUCUUAGUGUUUGUAGUGAAACUGCAAAGUGCAUGGUACUCUGAGCAUAUUAGAUGUUUCAAGUUGGAGUCCACAAGAGUUGUCAAAGUAAUUGAGCAUUCACAACUCACUGACACAUACUCACUGGCUACUUAUGCAGUGGAAGGCGAUCGCAUGGUUUCUUUGAAACACCACAUCUGGGUGUGAAAAUAUAUUUAUUGUUUUUUAGUACUUUUUUUAUUAUUUGUUAUCACACCAUGUCCUAUUUUUUUCUCUCUUGCAGUUCUGCUUGUCCAAGACUGUGAUCAUGUCUGCCCCAACUCAACUAUGUGUUGUUAUUGAAGAGACACAAGUUUACAAGUUAACCCUACCAGAUGGAAUCCCUAGCACUGUAGAUGAACUUUUGGCAGCUGCGCAGAAUCAUUUUAAACUUGAGGGAGUUACACUGUAAUGCACAUGGACAAAGAUUUCGAUAAUCAAUUCUUCACACUAACAUCAACCGAUGUGGUUAAUGACAAGGACACAAUGAAACUAGUUCAAACAGAACCAUUUGUAAUUUUGACAUUGACUUCUAUCAGUGAGCCUUCAGGUUCCUCCACUCCAGUGCCGCAGGAUCAGUCUUCUCAAGAUGAGAGUUCCUCCGCCAGCUAAUCUGACACCAUUAUUUUACAACCUUCAGUAUCGAUCCGAGCCAUGGCCAACCAAUUUUGUGAUAGCCAUCUUUUCAUAUGGUGUCGAAAUGAUUCUUGAAGCUGGAAAUCAAGCUUAUGAACGCGAUGGCUCACUCCUUCAGGAUCCAAGUAUCUACUCUGACAUUCUAGAGAAACUUGCACAAGCAAUCUACCAUUACCAGGCCUAUCCCAGUGCUCUUCAACAACUCGAAGUUGUAGAAGCUCUACUAAACAAGCACCCAUGCUUGAGGGAGCCUGGAACCUCAUAUUCAGGCACAUAUGGGUGGAAAAAUCGUCUCCAAAUGAAGAUGGCCAAUUUCCGAAGCAAACUGAAAAGGCGCAAUGUCCCUUGUCACGAGCUUCACAUCAACUUCUUGAAAAGCAAGGCCCCUGGUGAGAGAUAUCCUGCAAAAAAAUCCAAGAAACCGAAGAGAGCCGAGGUGAACUUCCUUCCCUCACAUCCAAGUGGAUAAAGCAACGACAGUCUGGAGAGGGACAGACAGGAGCUCCUUGACGAGGUUAAGAAAAAGGACAACGCUAAAAUAAUUAAAGAAAAAAUGGCCAACACAUUUUCCUAUCGAAGACUCGAGGUUGUGAGUGAUAAUCCUGCUGCUGCUGACUUCAAACAGAGAUGGCCUGCUUUGUUUUGUGAAGCUGAGAUCAAGGAGGAAUUCGGUAGAAUAACUACCAUUCCCCUGGAGCGAACCUUCAUGCACAAACUGGACGAACACACACCAAAACUUAUUACCCUGUUGAAAGCCAAGGGAGGUGCCGUGGGGAUCAAGAUGAGGCCGCUCCUGGACAGACUGAGUCAGAAACAGAGCAUUGAGAUGAGGCGUGAAACCAUUACCCGCAGCCUUAUACUGUACCUUGGCGAGAAGGAAGAGGAACUUUUUGAAGACUGCUUGGAGGACAGCCGGAGUGAUGUUAGUAACCACAUCCUCAAAAUACUCGUCGUCCACAGUGCUGAUGUGGAUCCAGUCGUUGUCUCCAUCCUUGUGGAAGGCCAUGAGAUUUUGCCAGGGUGCAACAGUACUGCGAAAGCUUGCUCACUGCUCAUGGGACUGAUUUAUGCCCUGAACUUGGCAUACCCUCCCACUUUGCGCUACACUUUUGAAGUCUUCCAAAAACUCUGGAUGGAUUCAAACUGUCCCCAAAAGUAAACACCUUAAAUUUGAAGUUACUUUCCUAAAUGCAUGUCAUGACUUUGUCAUCCUAGAGGAGGAAAAUGACAUAAUUUAUGGACCCUUGUUGAGGACUUAGCAUCAUGCAUGGACUCUUGUGAAGAAAUGCCAAGAAUUAGCUCUGAGCUCCAGUUCAUCUUGGUUUACUAGUGGGUUGCCUGUCAUAAAAGUUUUUCAUUUUUUGUCAAAUAAGUUAUCUGUUAAUUACAGUAAAAAUGGUAUUCUCCAACAAGAAUGGUUAGACACCUUAAGCUCUUUAUUUUUAGUUGAUUCUGUUGAUUUUAUUUCAUUAAUAUUUUAAUUGCCUACUUAAAAGUGCACUAGUCAGAGGACUGGUUUAUAUGUUGAAAUUGCACUUUUUCAGUGUGUAGGUUUGUAAGAUUUUAAUUGCAUAUUUCAGAAGUGACUAUGUUACCAGAUCUAUGUUGGUUUUGGUGUAUAAUGUGUAAUACUGUGUAUUUGUUGUUUAACAGUCAUAACAACCUUUGGAUAUUUUCUUAAAAAAAUAUACUAUUACUACUAUUUACUUUGAAUACCUUUUGCUGGAGAUACAUCUUUAAUUUACUGUUAGUACAAAUUCUAAUGCAGUACAAUAUAAUGCAAUUUUACUAUUAACGCAGUACUUGUACAGUACAUUCUGUUUUUCCCCCCAUUUAAAUAGGGGUAUACAUAAUCCAUACACCACCGCUCAAAGUUUAAGAGGCGGUUUCUGUCCUGACCCUCUCUCAGAAAUUGUUGUUGAGUAUUAUAUUUCUGCAAUGAAUGUAGAAACUAUGUUUCAGAGGGUUGUAAGAUUGAAUGAAAAAGAAACUGUUUAAUUGCAUUGUAAUUUAGUUGUGUGAUAUGUGAUA